rnacentral:misc_RNA from 1 species
GAAAUCAUAGAUACCAGAAUAGGGGCUUACUCUUCAAGUGGUUAUGGAGAUUCAAUCAAAAUGAAGGAGCAUUAUGGGAAGUGGUGGUUACCAAAAAGUACGGAAGAGAGCAUAACCGGAGUACCAAAAUUACUACCUCAGCACAGUGUUUGGAAGCAUAUAAGAAGUUUUUGGGAUGACCUUGUUAGAAACACGGAUUAUGGUAGGUAAUGGUGGCAACACUCUUU